GACGAACGCUGGCGGCGUGCUUAACACAUGCAAGUCGAACGGUAAGGCCCUUCGGGGUACACGAGUGGCGAACGGGUGAGUAACACGUGGGUGAUCUGCCCUGCACUUCGGGAUAAGCCUGGGAAACUGGGUCUAAUACCGGAUAGGACUCCGGACUGCAUGGUCUGGGGUGGAAAGCUUUUGCGGUGUGGGAUGGGCCCGCGGCCUAUCAGCUUGUUGGUGGGGUGAUGGCCUACCAAGGCGACGACGGGGAGCCGGCCUGGGAGGUGACCGGCCACACGGGGAGUGAGAUACGGCCCAGACUCCUACGGGAGGCAGCAGUGGGGAAUAUUGCACAAUGGGCGCAAGCCUGAUGCAGCGACGCCGCGUGAGGGAUGACGGCCUUCGGGUUGUAAACCUCUUUCAGCAUCGACGAAGCGAAAGUGACGGUAGGUGCAGAAGAAGGACCGGCCAACUACGUGCCAGCCGCCGCCGUAA
rnacentral:rRNA from 1 species